CGGGAUCUUAUACCGUGCCAAGGUAGCAUAAUCACUUGUCAUCUAAAUAAUGACUAGUAUGAAUGGCCCUAUGAGGACUUCCCUGUCUCUUAUAACCAAUCAAUGAAACUGAUCUCCCAGUACAAAAGCUGGAAUAAUAACACAAGACGAAAAGACCCUGUGGAACUUCUAAGUGCUAAUUAACAACAUAAUACAACCACUUUUAGUUGGGGCAACUUUGGAAUAAAAUAAAACUUCCAAUUAAAGUAACACCACUUUAACUAAAAACCAGGUCCACACACCGACCUUUUAACUUACACCGACCCAGUAUUACUGAUAAAAGAAACAAGCUACCCCAGGGAUAACAGCGCCAUCCCCUCUUAGAGUCCAAAUCGACGAGCGGGGCUUACGACCUCGAUGUUGGAUCAGGGCCCCCAAACAGUGCAGAGCUGUGAAAGGUUUG
rnacentral:rRNA from 1 species